rnacentral:lncRNA from 1 species
GACAGAUGUGGUUUCCAGAAAGUCAGAUAAUUUAGAAGUCGAGAAAAAGACAAAACUAAAUGUUCUGGAGGCUGGAAGUCCAAGAUCAAGGUGCUAUCAGGGUUGGUUUCGGCUGUGGCCUCUCUUCCUGGCUUGUAGACAGCUAUCUUCUCGCAGUGUCCUCACGUGGCCUCUUUGUGUGAAGGUUUUGGCAAACGUCUAAUGACACAGAGCCACCAUUGCCAAUUUCACCACUGUCUUUCACCAAGUUGAUUCAUUUUGAACUGGCUCCAGCAAUCUACUCAGAGUUGACCUCAGAGCAAAAAAUUGAAGAAGCUGCUAAAGAAUGUGCUUGACUAAAACAAGGCAAUAAGCAAAAGGAAGUCAUAGCAUCCAGAAAAUGGGAUCCAUCAUGCGCACAAAGAAAAGGUGAAGAAAAUUUCCAGGAUGUUCAGAACCCACCAAAAACGAAAGAUUCUGGUCCAGAUCAGAAGAGAGGGAAACACUCUGAAAAAGUCCCUCAAAUACAAAAUUAAACAGAGUUUAAAUGAUGUGCUUGACCACAAUAAAAGGCUUCUU